rnacentral:rRNA from 1 species
UUUUGGACAAUGGGCGAAAGCCUGAUCCAGCCAUUCCGCGUGAGUGAAGAAGGCCUUCGGGUUGUAAAGCUCUUUCGCAAGGGAAGAAAACUUAGGCGCUAAUAUCGCUUGAGGUUGACGGUACCUUGAUAAGAAGCACCGGCUAACUACGUGCCAGCAGCCGCGGUAAUACGUAGGGUGCGAGCGUUAAUCGGAAUUACUGGGCGUAAAGCGUGCGCAGGCGGUUUUGUAAGUCAGAUGUGAAAUCCCCGAGCUCAACUUGGGAACUGCGUUUGAAACUAUAAGACUAGAAUAUGUCAGAGGGGGGUAGAAUUCCACGUGUAGCAGUGAAAUGCGUAGAGAUGUGGAGGAAUACCAAUGGCGAAGGCAGCCCUCUGGGAUAAUAUUGACGCUCAUGCACGAAA